GAACAUGAUAAAUUUGGAUUUGAUUUUUUUUCUGUCAUGUUCUUGUCAGAUGGAAUGAUCAAGAGCCAGACGAUUCUUCAUUCAAAAGGCAGAAGAUCAAGGGUUACAUGUUAAAGGUUGGUUGAUCAAGAUGCAAUGGCAAGGUUCGUGAGAUAAAAGCCCUACGCUUGUUGAUAGAGUAUCACGGGAGUGGCGAGUGGGACAAGAACAGGAGAGAGUGGAGAGUGGAGAGGCAGACAAGACCACACGAGAGUGGAAAAUUGUAUCACGGGACUUGUUCU